CUGAUUUUUCAUUGGACAACUUGAAUUUGAGGUAUAAUAUUCCCCGAUAUCACCUCGCCUUCGGCGAAUAAUUGUUAAAUGUUAGCCAGGGGGUUGGCUGAUCACGUCCAAUGGUUUAAUUCAGAGUUAGUAAACAUGAAUUUUGCUAUUGCAACGGAGGCAACCUAUUCUUGUUUUAAAAAAAUGCGAAAUCAUACCUUGACAAGUUUUACCAUCCCCUGUAUAUCCUUCGUUACAGGUACAGGUAAAAGUUCCUGGUCCUGUGUCAGUACAUGUUGCAAAUUCACUGCAGUCUUCUUGUGGAGUUCCACAUAUUUUGAUUUCUUG